CUUAACACAUGCAAGUCGAGGGGGUAUAGUUCUUCGGAGCUAGAGACCGGCGCACGGGUGCGUAACGCGUAUGCAAUCUACCUUUACAGAGGGAUAGCCCAGAGAAAUUUGGAUUAAUACCUCAUAGUAUAUGGACUUCGCAUGGAGACCAUAUUAAAGUUCCAACGGCAAAAAGAUGAGCAUGCGUCCCAUUAGCUAGAUGGUAAGGUAACGGCUUACCAUGGCUACGAUGGGUAGGGGGUCCUGAGAGGGAGAUCCCCCACACUGGUACUGAGACACGGACCAGACUCCUACGGGAGGCGGCAGUGAGGAAUAUUGGACAAUGGGCGCAAGCCUGAUCCAGCCAUGCCGCGUGCAGGAUGACGGUCCUAUGGAUUGUAAACUGCUUUUACACAGGAAGAAACAACGCUACGUGUAGCGUCUUGACGGUACUGUGAGAAUAAGGAUCGGCUAACUCCGUG
rnacentral:rRNA from 1 species